rnacentral:rRNA from 1 species
GACGAACGCUAGCGGCGUGCUUAACACAUGCAAGUCGAACGGAAAGGCCCUGCUUUUGUGGGGUGCUCGAGUGGCGAACGGGUGAGUAACACGUGAGUAACCUGCCCUUGACUUUGGGAUAACUUCAGGAAACUGGGGCUAAUACCGGAUAGGAGCUCCUGCUGCAUGGUGGGGGUUGGAAAGUUUCGGCGGUUGGGGAUGGACUCGCGGCUUAUCAGCUUGUUGGUGGGGUAGUGGCUUACCAAGGCUUUGACGGGUAGCCGGCCUGAGAGGGUGACCGGCCACAUUGGGACUGAGAUACGGCCCAGACUCCUACGGGAGGCAGCAGUGGGGAAUAUUGCACAAUGGGCGGAAGCCUGAGGCAGCAACGCCGCGUGCGGGAGGACGGCCUUCGGGUUGGAAACCGCUUUCGCCUGUGACGAAGCGUGAGUGACGGUAAUGGGUAAAGAAGCACCGGCUAACUACGUG